GAGUUUGAUCCUGGCUCAGGAUUAACGCUGGCGGCGUGCCUAAUACAUGCAAGUCGAACGGAAGUUUAAGCAAUUAAACUUUAGUGGCGAACGGGUGAGUAACGCGUAAGCAAUCUGCCCCUAAGACGAGGAUAACAGUUGGAAACGACUGCUAAGACUGGAUAGGAGACAAGAGGGCAUCUUCUUGUUUUUAAAAGACCUAGCAAUAGGUAUGCUUAGGGAGGAGCUUGCGUCACAUUAGUUAGUUGGUGGGGUAAAGGCCUAACAAGACUAUGAUGUGUAGCCGGGCUGAGAGGUUGAACGGCCACAUUGGGACUGAGACACGGCCCAAACUCCUACGGGAGGCAGCAGUAGGGAAUUUUCGGCAAUGGAGGAAACUCUGACCGAGCAACGCCGCGUGAACGAUGAAGUAUUUCGGUACGUAAAGUUCUUUUAUUAGGGAAGAAUAAAUGAUGGAAAAAUCAUUCUGACGGUACCUAAUGAAUAAGCCCCGGCUAACUAUGUGCCAGCAGCCGCGGUAAUACAUAGGGGGCAAGCGUUAUCCGGAAUUAUUGGGCGUAAAGGGUGCCUAGGCGGUUAAAUAAGGUUAUGGUCUAAGUGCAAUGCUCAACAUGGUGAUGCUAUAAAAACUGUUUAGCUAGAGUAAGAUAGAGGCCAGUGGAAUUCCAUGUGUAGUGGUAAAAUGCGUAAAUAUAUGGAGGAACACCAGUAGCGAAGGCGGCUUGCUGGGUCUUUACUGACGCUGAGGCACGAAAGCGUGGGGAGCAAACAGGAUUAGAUACCCUGGUAGUCCACGCCGUAAACGAUGAGUACUAAACGUUGGGUAAAACCAGUGUUGAAGUUAACACAUUAAGUACUCCGCCUGAGUAGUACGUACGCAAGUAUUGAAACUUAAAGGAAUUGACGGGACUCCGCACAAGCGGUGGAUCAUGUUGUUUAAUUCGAAGGUACCCGAAAAACCUCACCAGGUCUUGACAUGCUUCUGCAAAGCUGUUAGAAA
rnacentral:rRNA from 1 species